UACGUAGGGGGCAAGCGUUGUCCGGAAUCAUUGGGCGUAAAGAGUGCGUAGGUGGUGCCCUAAGUCUGUUGUGAAAUCUCCCGGCUUAACUGGGAGGGUGCGGUGGAAACUGGGGUGCUUGAGUGUGGGAGAGGUAAGCGGAAUUCCUGGUGUAGCGGUGAAAUGCGUAGAUAUCAAGAGGAACACCUGAGGCGAAGGCGGGUUGCUAGGCUGACACUGACGCUGAGGCGCGAAAGCUAGGGUAGCAAACGGG
rnacentral:rRNA from 1 species